rnacentral:rRNA from 1 species
UACAGAGGGGGCAAGCGUUAUUCGGAAUUAUUGGGCGUAAGGGCGGCGUAGGCGGCUUGGCAAGUGGAUGGUGAAAUCCCUCGGCUUAACCGAGGAACUGCCAUCCAGACUGCUUUGCUUGAGGCCGGGAGAGGUGAGUGGAAUUCCCAGUGUAGCGGUGAAAUGCGUAGAUAUUGGGAGGAACACCAGUGGCGAAGGCGACUUCCUGGCCUGUUCUUGACGCUGAGGCGCGAAAGCUAGGGGAGCAAACGGGG